UACGAAGGGGGGCUAGCGUUGUUCGGAAUCACUGGGCGUAAAGCGCACGUAGGCGGAUGUGCCAGUCAGGGGUGAAAUCCCGGAGCUCAACUUCGGAACUGCCUCUGAUACAGCACGUCUUGAGUCCGGAAGAGGUGGGUGGAAUUCCUAGUGUAGAGGUGAAAUUCGUAGAUAUUAGGAAGAACACCGGUGGCGAAGGCGGCCCACUGGUCCGGUACUGACGCUGAGGUGCGAAAGCGUGGGGAGCAAACAGGAU
rnacentral:rRNA from 1 species